rnacentral:rRNA from 1 species
GACGAACGCUGGCGGCGUGCCUAAUACAUGCAAGUAGAACGCUGAAGCGAGGAGCUUGCUCUUCUUGGAUGAGUUGCGAACGGGUGAGUAACGCGUAGGUAACCUGCCUUGUAGCGGGGGAUAACUAUUGGAAACGAUAGCUAAUACCGCAUAACAAUGGAUGACACAUGUCAUUUAUUUGAAAGGGGCAACUGCUCCACUACAAGAUGGACCUGCGUUGUAUUAGCUAGUAGGUGAGGUAAUGGCUCACCUAGGCGACGAUACAUAGCCGACCUGAGAGGGUGAUCGGCCACACUGGGACUGAGACACGGCCCAGACUCCUACGGGAGGCAGCAGUAGGGAAUCUUCGGCAAUGGGGGCAACCCUGACCGAGCAACGCCGCGUGAGUGAAGAAGGGUUUCGGAUCGUAAAGCUCUGUUGUAAGUCAAGAACGGGUGUGAGAGUGGAAAGUUCACACUGUGACGGUAGCUUACCAGAAAGAGACGGCUAACUACGUG